GGUGGCUCAGUGGUAGGAGUGUUUGCCUUGCAUGCAUGAGGCCCUGGGUUCGAUUCCUCAGCACCA
rfam:Dipodomys ordii contig_26026, whole genome shotgun sequence.